rnacentral:rRNA from 1 species
UGGCGACGGGUGAGUACACGUGGGCAAUCUGCCCUUCACUCUGGGACAAGCCCUGGAAACGGGGUCUAAUACCGGAUAACACUCUGUCCCGCAUGGGACGGGGUUGAAAGCUCCGGCGGUGAAGGAUGAGCCCGCGGCCUAUCAGCUUGUUGGUGGGGUAAUGGCCUACCAAGGCGACGACGGGUAGCCGGCCUGAGAGGGCGACCGGCCACACUGGGACUGAGACACGGCCCAGACUCCUACGGGAGGCAGCAGUGGGGAAUAUUGCACAAUGGGCGAAAGCCUGAUGCAGCGACGCCGCGUGAGGGAUGACGGCCUUCGGGUUGUAAACCUCUUUCAGCAGGGAAGAAGCGAAAGUGACGGUACCUGCAGAAGAAGCGCCGGCUAACUACGUGCCAGCAGCCGGGGGUAAUACG